rnacentral:rRNA from 1 species
CGUGUAGGCGGGCUGGAAAGUUGGGGUGAAAUCCCGAGGCUCAACCUCGGAACUGCCUCCAAAACUUCCAGCCUGGACUCAAGCAGAGGCAAGUGAAUUGCGAGUGUAGGGGUGAAAUUCGUAGAUAUUCGCAGGAACACCAGUGGCGAAGGCGACUUGCUGGGCUUGUAGUGACGCUGAGACGCGAAAGCGUGGGGAGCAAACA